rnacentral:lncRNA from 1 species
CCAACCGACUGAACCUCUGCUUCUCGAAAUCAGUUACAGCGGGAGACGCUCUGACCGUCGUCUAUAUAGCCUCCCUCGCCGUCCUUCCUCCUCCUCCCCUCCCAUUGCUUCUCGAGCGUAGCUUCCUUCCUUCCCUCUCUGAUUCAUCUGGGAGUUCUUGCGAAGCUGUUCGACCGAGGCGAGAUGGAGCCCAAGCGGAAGGCCGACGACGAGCUUAACGGGACAAGGCAUCCGGCUGCGCGUGCGCGGACGGACACUAGAGACGGCGAUGACCUCGCCGGUACAUCGGCGCAGCCAUCAGGGACGACGGCGAAUGCAGCCGGCGACGGCAUUGCGGGGAUUUCGCAGGCGCUUGCGGGGCUGACGACGGCGACUACAGGCUCCGCCGGCGGCUCUUCCCAGUCCGGUGGAGGUGGGUGCCCAAGAAAUCAAGGCAUACGACCGAGCGCGGGGUUCGUUCUUGGAUUGUAACCUUCGGUAACUUCGUUUCUUGCAGUUCUCGGGCGCGGCCCAUGGUCGGGGCAGAGGGGAAGGGGAUUCGCUCCGCCGCCACGGCAGGCUUUUCCAGGGCAGACGACGACUACACCGGUCUUCGUUUUAGGUGGAGGUGGGUGCCCAAGAAAUCAAGGCAUACGAUCGAGCGCGGGGUUCGUUCUUGGACUGUAACCUUCGGUAACUUCGUUUCUUGCAGUUCUCGGGCGCGGCCCAUGGUCGGGGCAGAGGGGAAGGGGAUUCGCUCCGCCGCCACGGCAGGCUUUUCCAGGGCAGACGGCGACUACACCGGCCUUCGCUUUAGGUGGAGGUGGGUGCCCAAGAAAUCAAGGCAUACGAGCUUGGGUUGAUCAUGUCGUUUCUUGGAUUGUAACCUUCGGUAACUUCGUUUCUUGCAGUUCUCGGGCGCGGCCCAUGGUCGGGGCAGAGGGGAAGGGGAUUCGCUCCGCCGCCACGGCAGGCUUUUCCAGGGCAGACGGCGACUACACCGGCCUUCGCUUUAGGUGGAG